GACAAGGAAGAGAAUCUAGAAAAGAACCAACUAGAGCGUCUGUAUCGCAGAGACAGCUGCGUGAAGCAGGAGCUCUGCACUCUGACUGAGUUGCCGACUGUGGAGGCUAACGGGACUGGUAGGAAGGCCAGUAAGGCCAGUCUGGGCCAGUUGUCCCUAAAGCAGAC